CCAUGGACAGAGGAGUCUGGAGGGCUACAGUUCAUGGAGUUGUGAAGAGUUGGACACAACUGAGUGAGCAUUCCAAUGUAUACUUUGUUAUUAUCUGAUAUUAUUUUUCCUGAGAAGAUUAUUUCAGAGUAGAUAGGCUUUCUGAAUUACAGCUUUGUUAUUAUUUAAUGAAUCAAAAGGUAUAUCUUUUUUUAAAACUGAAAGAAAACACAGAAGUCCAUGAAAAGAUAUAUAUUUUAAUAGCAAAUAUCAGAAUCAAUUUGUUUGCCUAACAGAAGAGCUUAAUUAAAUGUAUUGUGAAACAUUGACUUAGUGAAAUGCUUUGCAGCAAUUCAUACUUUUGAUGCAAAAUUUAAACAUGCUGACCCAGAAAACAGCUAUUAGUUGAUUGACAGAUAAAUGUAAAAAGAAGAUCUGGUAUAUUACACACACACACAAUAUUACUCAGCUUUAGUCUAGAAAAAAAAAAAGAAUGAAAUAGUGCCAUAUGCAACAGCAUGGAUGGGCCUGGAGAUUAUCAUACUAAGUGAAAUAAGCAAGACAAAGACAAACAUCACAUGAUAUUGUUUAUAUGUGAAAUCUAAAAAUAUGAUACAAAUGAACUUAUUUAUAAAAAUAGGCUCUAAAAAAAUAAUAGGCUCUAAUACAUAGAAAACAGUAUUCUGGUAAGGAAGAGGAAGACAGGGAUAAAUUUGGAGUUUGGGAUUAAAAUAUGCAUGUGUGCUGUGCUUAGUUGCUCAGUUGUGUCUGACCCUUUAUGACCCCAUGGACUGUAGCCCCCCAGGCUCCUCUGUCCAUGGGAUUCUCCAGGCAAGAAUACUGGAGUGGGUUGCCAUGCCUUCCUCCAGGGUAUAUUCCCAACCCAGGGAUCGAACCUAGGUCUCACACAUUGCAGGCAGAUUCUUUACCAUCUGAGCCACCAGGGAAGCCUAAAAUAUGCGUACUGCUACUGCAGCUGCUGCUGCUAAGUUGCUUCAAGUCGGACACGACUGAAGUGACUCAGCAGCAUAUGACUAUUCAAAUUUAUAACUUUUCUUUAUGGAGUGAAAAC
ensembl:lncRNA